rnacentral:lncRNA from 1 species
GUAGGAGGCAAUAUCAGGGUGUAAGGACACAUUCCAGCUAGGCCGAAACCCUCAAGGUAGUUGUGGGGCUGGGCCAAUGUGGAGAUGGGAUGUGGUCUGGGGAGAGUCCCAAUGGCCAGAUAGGUGUGGAGGACAGCCUCAGAUCUCGGGUUCACCUGAGGUAGGCUUUGGUCUCAUCCAGCUUGUGCUCAAAGCUUUCUCUUUUUUUCAAUGGAUAAAGAACUGAAGAUUGACUGACAGUUUCUCCAAACAACUGCUUUCAGGAUUUGAGAGAGGGAAAGGAUAAUUGCCACACCUAGUCUCCAGAAAUAUGCCAAGAAUAAUGAAGUCACAGAAACAAACGAAUGCCUUAAAGCAAACUGCACGGGAAAAUAACUUUCCAGGCAAAAACUCAGAUGCUCAGUGCAACAGAAAGUUGUCACGUGGCUUGCCGCUGCCUCACCGGAAAGCAAUCGGGCACGUUAGUGUAGAUGCACAUGGAGACAAAACCUGUGGUCUUUGCUAGGAGUGGUGUCUGGGCAAUGACUAAGAGUUACCCCAUCAGCUAUUCCUCCGCCCCCUGCAGAUUAAAUUUUCAUUUGUUGUUGUUUUCAAUCAGCAAGGGAUAAAUGAAUUUAGCAGGGUAUGUGCCCUUUAAAUAUCAAGUGGAGUUGAAAGGUUUGUUUGCAUGCAAGAGGGAUGAACUUUUGACAUUAAGGAAGCUUUGUGUGGUAAUGGCCAGGUGAAUCGCUUUGAGGUACCAGCUGCUCCCUCCAGCUUUCCAGAGUGCAGCUUUUGAAACUGAUCAACAGUCCAUUGAAUGAAUGGAGACUGAAAGAGAGAGAGAGAGAGAGAAUCCUCUAGUUGAAGGGGCCUCAAAGGCUACCUAGUCAUUUGUGCUUAUAUCUUCAUUUUUAUGCAUAAAGGUAAAUGUAAAGGGUCCCCUGACCAUUAGGUCUAGUCGUGGCUGACUCUGGGAUUGUGGCACUCGUCUCGCUUUACUGGCCGAGGGAGCCGGCAUACAGCUUCCGGGUCAUGUGGCCAGCAUGACUGAGCCGCUUCUGGCGAACCAGAGCAGCACACGGAAACGCCGUUUACCUUCCCACCAGAGUGGUACCUAUUUAUCUACUUGCACUUUGACGUGCUUUCAAACUGCUAGGUUGGCAGGAGCAGGGACCGAAGAACGGGAAAUCACCCCGUCGCAGGGAUUCGAACUGCCGACCUUCUGAUUGGCAAGUCCUAGGCUCUGUGGUUUAACCCACAGCGUCACCCGUGUCCCUUUUUUUUUUUAUGCAUGCUUCCCCCUAAUACAUGCUUUUUUGUAAACGUGGGGUAGGGGGAGAACCACCCUGCAAAAUUCAGUAAGUGUGACUUUUGAAGGAUGGUUCUGUUUCGGAGCUCAUAUUGUUUCUGAAAGUGUGGAUUAGACAGUCACCUUUAAAGGUCUACUGAAUCAACCCCUCGGAUCCUUAAAUGUGACCAUUCACUCAUUCAUUUUAAUAACUAGUUUGGCCCUCACACCAACCCCUGUUGGACUUCUGACUCUUCUCUCCUGUUUCUUUGAGAAUGUCUUUCUUGACCCAUCUUUGCAGUAUCAACGGACUUGCUUCCUGCCACUUCAUUUCCUGACUACUUCGGCUAAUGUACUCGCCCGCAGCAUGGUUUUGGAAACGGACCAGCUGGCUUAAUUUUAGAACUUCUUCAGUGGGUAAAGUAAAGCUGACGCUUUGAUUAGCUGAGAACUGUUUGCAUGUCCACAUCUCACACCCGCUAUUGUGUUCACAAAAAGGCAACGUUAAGUCCAGCCACUGAAGUCAAUUAGGGAGCAUUUCCCCAAGCCUUCCUGCUUCUAUUUGUGUGUAUCCCUGAGAACCCUUGAAAUUUCUCUUUUUCUCAGGAAUGGGUGGCUCUCUCAGCUUUG